rnacentral:rRNA from 1 species
UGGGGAAUAUUGGACAAUGGGCGCAAGCCUGAUCCAGCCAUGCCGCGUGAGUGAUGAAGGCCCUAGGGUUGUAAAGCUCUUUCAACGGUGAAGAUAAUGACGGUAACCGUAGAAGAAGCCCCGGCUAACUUCGUGCCAGCAGCCGCGGUAAUACGAAGGGGGCUAGCGUUGUUCGGAAUUACUGGGCGUAAAGCGCACGUAGGCGGACCAGAAAGUUGGGGGUGAAAUCCCGGGGGCUCAACCCCCGGAACUGCCUCCAAAACUAUUGGUCUAGAGUUCGAGAGAGGUGAGUGGAAUUCCAAGUGUAGAGGUGAAAUUCGUAGAUAUUUGGAGGAACACCAGUGGCGAAGGCGGCUCACUGGCUCGAUACUGACGCUGAGGUGCGAAAGUGUGGGGAGCAAACAGGAUUAGAUACCCUGGUAGUCCACACCGUAAAACGAUGAAUGCCAGUCGUCGGGUAGCAUGCUAUUCGGUGACACACCUAACGGAUUAAGCAUUCCGCCUGGGGAGUACGGUCGCAAGAUUAAAACUCAAAUGAAUUG